rnacentral:rRNA from 1 species
CCUACGGGAGGCAGCAGUAGGGAAUUUUCGACAAUGGGGGGAACCCUGACCGAGCAACGCCGCGUGAACGAAGAAGUUAUUCGUAAUGUAAAGUUCUUUUAACAGGGAAGGAAGAGAAUUUUCACAUUACCUGAUGAAUAAGCUCCGGCUAACUACGUGCCAGCAGCCGCGGUAAUACGUAGGGAGUGAGCGUUAUCCGGAAUUAUUGGGCGAAAAGGGUGCGUAGAUGGCAUAGUAAGUCUGUGGUAAAAAUGCUGGGCUCAACCUAGUAGGGCAAAAAAUACUGCAAAGCUAGAGUAUGAACGAGGUAAGUGGAACUACAUGAGUAGCGGUAAAAUGCGUAAAUAUAAGUAAGAACACCAGUAGCGAAGGCGGCUU